rnacentral:rRNA from 1 species
GAUGAACGCUGGCGGCGUGCCUAAUACAUGCAAGUCGAGCGAACAGAUAAGGAGCUUGCUCCUUUGACGUUAGCGGCGGACGGGUGAGUAACACGUGGGUAACCUACCUAUAAGACUGGAAUAACUCCGGGAAACCGGGGCUAAUGCCGGAUAACAUUUAGAACCGCAUGGUUCUAAAGUGAAAGAUGGUUUUACUAUCACUUAUAGAUGGACCCGCGCCGUAUUAGCUAGUUGGUAAGGUAACGGCUUACCAAGGCAACGAUACGUAGCCGACCUGAGAGGGUGAUCGGCCACACUGGAACUGAGACACGGUCCAGACUCCCACGGGAGGCAGCAGUAGGGAAUCUUCCGCAAUGGGCGAAAGCCUGACGGAGCAACGCCGCGUGAGUGAUGAAGGUCUUCGGAUCGUAAAACUCUGUUAUUAGGGAAGAACAAAUGUGUAAGUAACUGUGCACGUCUUGACGGUACCUAAUCAGAAAGCCACGGCUAACUACGUG